rnacentral:rRNA from 1 species
AACGAACGCUGGCGGCAGGCUUAACACAUGCAAGUCGAACGCCCCGCAAGGGGAGUGGCAGACGGGUGAGUAACGCGUGGGAACGUACCUUUCAGUUCGGAAUAACUCAGGGAAACUUGUGCUAAUACCGGAUACGCUCGUAAGAGGAAAGAUUUAUCGCUGAAAGAUCGGCCCGCGUUGGAUUAGCUAGUUGGUGGGGUAAUGGCCUACCAAGGCGACGAUCCAUAGCUGGUCUGAGAGGAUGAUCAGCCACACUGGGACUGAGACACGGCCCAGACUCCUACGGGAGGCAGCAGUGGGGAAUAUUGGACAAUGGGCGAAAGCCUGAUCCAGCCAUGCCGCGUGAGUGAUGAAGGCCCUAGGGUUGUAAAGCUCUUUCACCGAUGAAGAUAAUGACGGUAGUCGGAGAAGAAGCCCCGGCUAACUUCGUGCCAGCAGCCGCAGUAACAC